rnacentral:sRNA from 1 species
GAUCAGAUCUCCUCCACCACGAUCCAGUCUUCCUCCCCAUCUGAGAACUCCAGCGCAAUUGUGAUCCCCACCAUGAAGAAGCCCAUGUCGUCUUCUUCCUCCUCUUCACCAGACGCUGCUGCUGCAUCUUGAUCCGGCUCCUCCUCGAUUCCGUCCUUGUUUGCUACUUCUAUGUCAGUGGCGCGCGCCGUGUCCGGCUCUUGGCGGGCGGCGGCGUGGUGGCCGACGAUGAGGUCGUACAGGUCAGAGAGGCCGCUGCCGCUGGCCGGCGGGGCGGCUUCCAGGGCGGGGGCGCCCCCGUCGUCGUCGUCCUCGUGGUAGCUGCUCCCCCCGGCGAGGUAGGCCAGCACGGCGGACGCGGAGGCGCCCUUGUAGUCCGGGAUUCCCGUGCCGGCCGCCCACGCCCCGGCGCUGUCGACGACGCGCCAGGACACGAGGCGGUGGUUGAGCGCGACGUCGCAGGCCCGGAGCUUGUGCGCCCCCUUCGCCUUGUCCCGGGCCUUGUCCGCGGGGUGGUCGUGGCACCCGCGGCACCGCGGCCGCCGGCAC